UGCAAUAUUUCUCUCGCUAUCACAGCCUGAAGCCAUUGACCUUUGGACCUAGAGGGGCAGCAGAAGGGAAGCGCUACAUUUCACUGAACUUGGAUGUUACAGUUCCUUCUGCCUUCACUUUACUGCUUUCCAAAAUAUGCAGCUAGCUGAAAUAACACAUUCAAAAAGCUGAAUUCUCAUCAAGGAUGCUGCAUCGCAAGUGAGCAAUGGUGUGGAGGAGCUAACAGGCAGUUCGAUGGAAAGUCCUUGAAGGACCUUGAACGAGGAAGAAGGAGGAAGAAGGAUGUCUGCGCAAGGCAAAGAUGAGGAAGUAAGAAGCAGAGAAAAAACAAAGUCAGCAUCCUACUAAUCCAGCCCAUGUGCCACGUGUUCCUGUAGCUUCACCCAAUUAUAGGCUAGAGCUAGGCGCAUGGACAACGAUCAUUAGCGAAUCGCAAGUGAGAAAGCUAUGCGUAAAGAAUCUAUACGAGUAUAAGUGUACGAGCAGAACCUCAAUAAAGGGUCUUCUGAUUUACCCGCCUCAGGAGUCCGUGUCAUAACUCUCCGCAAAUGGUGACCCCAACGUGAUAGGGUCGAAGAAGCGCUGAGGGCAGCGCCCGGGAGAGCAUCCAGCUGAACGAUCGUCUCAUCAGCAGGACUGAUUGAGCACAUGCCCGGGCAAUCACCUUUCCACGAGAUCAGGUGAGCGGCUGGAUAAGUUUAAAAAUGGGAGCACAGAUGUCAGCCGAAGAAGAGGCUAUAAUGAAAUUAUUGCCUAAAUUAUUGCAAAGGUGGGGUAUUAAGUAUGAUGAACAUAAGUUGAAGCUUUUGUUAAAAUGGCUAAGAGUAAACGGCGUCCCAGCUGAUUCAACCACAGCCUUCCUGCCAGGAACUUGGGAACAUGCAGGAGAAUUCAUCUGGGAUGCUGCUUCAAAGGGAGAUUGUACAGCAUCAGUUAUAAUGACCACUUGGCGUCUAGUACUAGAGAUGCUAAAAGCCAUAAAAGCAGAGAAAAGGGUCGCAGGGGAGGCAAAAUCAGCCUUAUGCGAGUCAGAAGCGAAGGAGGGUG